rnacentral:rRNA from 1 species
UACGAAGGGGGCUAGCGUUGCUCGGAAUCACUGGGCGUAAAGCGCACGUAGGCGGGUCGUUAAGUCGGGGGUGAAAGCCUGUGGCUCAACCACAGAAUGGCCUUCGAUACUGUUUGGCUUGAGACCGGAAGAGGUCAGUGGAACUGCGAGUGUAGAGGUGAAAUUCGUAGAUAUUCGCAAGAACACCAGUGGCGAAGGCGGCUGACUGGUCCGGUUCUGACGCUGAGGCGCGAAAGCGUGGGGAGCAAACAGG